rnacentral:snRNA from 10 species
UCUGUCUCAAAAAAAAAAAAAAAAAAAUUGGAACGAUACAGAGAUUAGCAUGGGCCCUGCGAAAAAAGAUAACAUGCAAAUUUGUGACAUUUUCUGGGCUGGG